rnacentral:rRNA from 1 species
GAUGAACGCUAGCGGCAGGCCUAACACAUGCAAGUCGAGGGGUAGAGUUCUUCGGGACUUGAGACCGGCGCACGGGUGCGUAACGCGUAUGCAAUCUACCUUAUACAGGGGAAUAGCCCAGAGAAAUUUGGAUUAAUGCCCCAUAGUGUUAUCGAAUCGCAUGGUUUGAUAACUAAAGUUCCAACGGUAUAAGAUGAGCAUGCGUCCCAUUAGUUAGUUGGUAAGGUGACGGCUUACCAAGACAAUGAUGGGUAGGGGUCCUGAGAGGGAGAUCCCCCACACUGGUACUGAGACACGGACCAGACUCCUACGGGAGGCAGCAGUGAGGAAUAUUGGUCAAUGGGCGCAAGCCUGAACCAGCCAUGCCGCGUGCAGGAAGACGGUCCUAUGGAUUGUAAACUGCUUUUAUACAGGAAGAAACGGUGAGCUCUAAUACAGUUUGCUAAUGACGGUACCGUAAGAAUAAGCACCGGCUAACUACGUGCCAGCAGCCGCGG